rnacentral:lncRNA from 1 species
AAACAUUUUUCACAUUGUCUUAAUUUUUUACCAAACUCGCAACUCAGAUAUAUAUUUACCUCCACGAUUACAUCGUAGACAUAUUAUUCCAUUGUCACGACGAUCUUCAACUUCACUCUGAAAUUGCUUGAAGUUUUCAAUAUUUCACACUUGUAAUUCAUCAAGCAAAUACACAUGUAUCUACUCAAAUCACCAAUGAAGUAAGAACAUAACGAUAUCCACUGCGUGCCUCAGCACUCAUUGAACUGCAUACAUCAAAAUAUAUUAUUUCCAAUAAGUUUCUUGCUCGUUGCAUCACAGGAAUACGAGGUAUUAAGUCAUUUUGUUCAUGUGGCAUGAUUUGCAUGUAUCAAGUGAUUCAAAAUCAAAUGAGUCCAAACAAUCCAUCUACAUGGAGUUUCUUCAUGCGUUUACACUAAUAGACAUGGUUCACAUGUCUCAAACGAUUCAAAAACGAGUGAGUCCAAAGAUCCAUCAGCAUGGAGCUUCUUCAUGCGUUUUAUACCAAUAUGACUUAAACAAGAGUGCCACAGGUACGUGGUACUAUCAUUACUACUUUGUAUCUUUUGACAUUAAUAUUAUGAACAUGUGUAUUACUCCGAUCGAGAUUCAAUAAACGGCAACUAUUUGAAAUUGGAACAUUUUGCAAAAACAUUUUUUCAAAUUUGAAGAAGAAUUUUUUAUAAUUUUUCAAAAUCCCUGACGUUUCUUGAAAAUCCCAAACAUUUCUUGAAAAUCCAGAACAUUCCAUUAUAAAGCAAGAACAUUUUUCUGAUUUGAAGAAUAUAUUUUUGAAAAUCCAGAACAUUUUUGAGAAGACAAAACAUUUUUCGAAUUUGAAGAACAAUUUGUAAGAAUCCCAAACAUUUUUUGAAAAUCCAAAAUAUUUUUAAAAAUCCAUAACAUUUUUUAGAAAUCCAAAACUUUCCGACACCACUUCGCAAUGAGCGGCGAAUAGGCUUUUCCUUCAUUGAUUAAAAAAAAAGUUUUAGAGGUUUAAGAUGGCCGAAUUACAACAAUCGCUUUCACAGUUUUUUUCUUCUUCUUUUGUUCCACAAUAAGCUUUAGUUCUAAAUAAAUGCAAUCUUUCAAAGAACAUUGUGCAUCUGAAUUACCAUAUUACCUCUUCUUCUUCUUUUUCCCACAAUAAGCUUCAGUUCGUAAUAUAGAUUUUCAAAAGGACAUUGUGCAUCUGAAUUACCAUAUUACGUAUCCGAAGAAGAUCAAUCACAUCACAUCACGGAUAUAAGGCCUCGAAUAACGG